rnacentral:rRNA from 1 species
AUGCGAGGAAGUGGACGGGGCUUCACAUCGGGCGCAAGUGAACCCCAAAAGUAUGGAAAAAUAAACCGCAUUACUUUAUUUGUCGUUUUGGUAACAUUUUUUCUUUGCACUUACAAGAUGAACAACAUCAAACACCCGACCGCACUGCUUCAGUUAGAAAACCGCACUGCAUCAAAUGGUCACUUACAAGAUGAACAACAUCACACACCCGACUGCACUGCUUCAGUUAGAAAACCACACUGCAUCAAGUGGUCAAGUGAACGGCAUUACUUUUUUUGUCGUUUCUCUACCAUUUUUUAUUUAACACAUCUUUGGACUUCAUUUCCUUCUUUCUUUUUCUGUUUGGAGUUUUGGGUUUCCACAUUGGUGAGCUGUACACGUGCGAAGAAGCGAACCGCAUGGUCGAGGGAAAUGAGCCGCAACACAAUUCAAAAUGAACUUCUUUGGUAA